GGAUGAAAGUAAAGAAAAGCUUAAAUAAAUAACUAAAAUGAUUUUUUUAAUUAUGGACUAUAGAGACAAGUAAAUCAUUUAUGAAAAAAAAAAAACUCGCCCAGAGACGCUCUUGAAUCUCAACUUUCUUUUUUUUUUUUUUUUUUUAAUGAAGAAACAUGGAGGACCUGUGGUUGACACAUUAUAAAAGGGAAUCAUGGAGGUUUGAGGGUUUACGAAGGCUCAUUAGUUUAAGAAUGAGGCAUUGCUCUCAGGGGAGGUGGCUGGUUCUAUAAAGGUUGGUUGCUCCCCUCCUCUGAUCGAUAGCGAAGCCUAUGAUUUCACUCAACAUAUACCUUCAUCUACAACAAUAGCCCAUUGAUUGUGUACUAAAAUCAUCCAUUUCAACACGCCCGCCAUCUUCCAUCAUCAUCGCCACCAUCGUCGUUAUCUUCUGCUUCUCAGUCUCUGCUAUACUGUUUCUUUUCUACUUCUUUUUCUUCUCCUUCUCUCGAAAACCCCUCAUCUCAACGAGGCAAUGAUGAUUUUUUUCUUUGUGGGGUUAUUAAAUUCAGAUUUUUGAAGAAAAAAAGGCCGUAGCUUGGCGGGGCAACUCUGGUUUUUGUUGCAGCCACCGGCUUUAUUUCUUAUCUGAAAAAAGGCGAAUCUGAGCCUCCCCUGCCCCCUCCCCCCUCCCCCCUCCCCCCUCCCAUUUUUCUCUUUUUAUUAUAACCUUGUUUUCAUUUGAAAGUUUAAUUUUUUUUUUAUUGUGAGGUCAGUUGGGUGAUUUGGGGUUUGCAGCAGAAUUGGGGAAUUUCUCUGGCUAGAUCAUGCUCUGCAGAAUUGAAAGCAUAUCUUAAUGAUAUGUUAUUUAUUUUCAUUUGAAAGUUGAAAAAUUUAUUGCGAAUCAGUUGGAUGGUUUUGGGUCUGCUCUAGAAUUUGAAUUUCUCUGGCUAAAAUGCAUGAACCUUUUACAGUAUGAUUCUUACUUACCCUACCAAAAAAAAGGUUCCAGAGGCUUUUGUUCAGUCAUUUUGGGUUAUUUGUUCAGUUUGGCUUGUUUCGGGUUUGUUGACUAGUGUUGUUAAAUUGGAUUUAAGUUCGAAGAUCUAAUUAAAUCUAUGGAACUGAGCUCUUUCUGUGCGCAAGGGCUCUAUUGAUAUUACUUAAAGGGAAAAUGGCAGUUUUAGGUCCAUUUUUUUAUGCAUAUGACGGAGGCAAGUAACUAAGUUCAGAUAUUUGAUAAGCUUUCUGGAUUUUAGGGCAAACUGAAGAUGCGACAAGGUUUCAUAGUUCGAAAGAACUGUGGUUUGCCUUUUUUUUCCCCAAUGAUUUUGGUCCUGAAAUGACUAUUGAGUUACCGCAGCUUGUAAUAUAUAAUAUAGAUGCAUACACGUGUGUGUGUGUGUGUGUGUCUGUGUGUGUAUGCAUAUUUCUUUUCCUUUGGACUUGAUAUUGUGCCUUCUUAUAUGUUAUGAGAAUGUGAACUUGUAGUCAUGACUCAUGAGCUUGCAUGCAGAAUCUGUAGCACAUUGUGCUGUUGUUUCCUUGUUUGGUACCCUGUACUUUUGGUCAUAUGUGUGAUUGCUUAUCCAUUUGCAGGGUUGGGCUAAUCUGUCAAUCUCUGGUUAGAAGUUUAUUCUGUCUGACUUAUUUCUUUGUAUUCAUCUUUUUAAUGACAAUCGAAACCUUCGGCAGGAUCAUGAGAUGGAGAAGCAAUUUCAUGGAAUUCGGAUUUGAAGUUGGGAAGAGGCUGGUGCGGAAGAGCACACCCCCGAGGGUGGGAGUCAGGCUCAUUAAAGUUGUUGAUUGAGCAGUUUUGUUGGGGCAAAAAGCCCUCAAAUCUCCCACUUUUUCCAUUUGUAGUUGCCUUAAUUCCUUAAAUGAUACAAUCAUGUAAUGAAUUUUCACCUGUGAACUUUCUUUGUGGACCUCUUACUCUAUAAUAUCAUCCCAAGUUACUCUAAGUUCGUAAUCUACGAAAUAUAUAUAUAUUCAUGUCAUGUUCUGUUCUGUUAUCUUUACCACGAAGGCAUUCAUCAGAUAUGAGGUCAAUUUUAUGCCAUUCUCUUUGUUCCAUAUGUAUAAUAUUGCCAUAACACAUAACAAUAGCCUUCUAUCCUAAGAAGGACAUAUACAUAUUUUUUGGUCAAGUGACUCUAAGCUUGUAAAGUGCACCAGAACUAGCUUAAUCCACGUAUUUUUCCAUUUUUCUUUGAUCUGAAUGUUGAUAGUUUUUACAUGGAUCACUUUGUAUCGCCAGUCAUGCAUGAAACUCAGACCAAGUAUAUAUAAAUUUUGUAUAUGAUCUUUGGGAUACUCUGAUGGAACACUUUUUGAGUCCUAGAAUUCCCCCUACAUAUCUAUGAUAUCUAUCAUUUUCCAAUCUCAGGGAAAGAGAUUAAGCUGCAAAAUGUACCUUCGGGUUGCCGUAUACACCGUGAAGCAGGCUAUCAAGAGGAUCGAUUCUUGGGAACAAUGCAACAGCCCUUUUUCAAAGCAGCCACCCUUUUCUUGAAUCUCAAGCAUUUGUCGUGUUUUGGUUCUGUAAUACUGGGGUUAGGAAUUGCAAUGGCCGCCUCCCUUCACCCAUAAAGGCUCGUACUUUUCCUUCGAAAGUUCCCAUAAUCGCUUCCCAUGAGACCAAUCAACGGUCUCGUCGUUUGUACCCUGCAACCGUUAAUUGACAAGCAUGCAUCAAGAUAUGCACGAGGAAUAAACCGAAAAACACCUCGGUUCAAAUGCAAAUCAACAUUAAAUUCACCUACUUGAUGAUAUAUGGUAUCUAGGAGGAUUAGAUCUAACACGGCGUAUCUUAUUUCAGUAUAUUGAUAGAAAAGUUGUACGGAGGAAAAUAUACUUACAUGCAUAACUAGAACCGGAGAAGUGACCCGCCGUAUUUUGUCUAUAUUCUGCAAAUAUUUGGAGAGAACUUACUUGCUGCGAAUCGAAAUACUUUGAAGUUUGAAGUAGAAUGAUAGAUUUUUCA